CCUAACACAUGCAAGUCGAGCGGUAACAGGAAGCAGCUCGCUGCUUCGCUGACGGGUGGCGGACGGGUGAGUAAUGUCUGGGAAGCUGCCUGAUGGAGGGGGAUAACUACUGGAAACGGUAGCUAAUACCGCAUAAUGCCGCAAGACCAAAGAGGGGGACCUUCGGGCCUCUUGCCAUCGGAUGUGCCCAGAUGGGAUUAGCUAGUAGGUGGGGUAACGGCUCACCUAGGCGACGAUCCCUAGCUGGUCUGAGAGGAUGACCAGCCACACUGGAACUGAGACACGGUCCAGACUCCUACGGGAGGCAGCAGUGGGGAAUAUUGCACAAUGGGCGCAAGCCUGAUGCAGCCAUGCCGCGUGUAUGAAGAAGGCCUUCGGGUUGUA
rnacentral:rRNA from 1 species